CCUACGGGUGGCAGCAGUGGGGAAUAUUGGACAAUGGGGGGAACCCUGAUCCAGCCAUGCCGCGUGUGUGAAGAAGGCCCUCGGGUUGUAAAGCACUUUCAGUGAGGAAGAACGCCUGGUGGUUAAUACCCAUCAGGAAAGACAUCACUCACAGAAGAAGCACCGGCUAACUCCGUGCCAGCAGCCGCGGUAAUACGGAGGGUGCGAGCGUUAAUCGGAAUUACUGGGCGUAAAGCGCGCGUAGGUGGCUUGAUAAGCCGGUUGUGAAAGCCCCGGGCUCAACCUGGGAACGGCAUCCGGAACUGUCAAGCUAGAGUGCGGGAGAGGAAGGUAGAAUUCCCGGUGUAGCGGUGAAAUGCGUAGAGAUCGGGAGGAAUACCAGUGGCGAAGGCGGCCUUCUGGACUGACACUGACACUGAGGUGCGAAAGCGUGGGUAGCAAACAGGAUUAGAUACCCUGGUAGUC
rnacentral:rRNA from 1 species